UUCUUAAGCGAAGACGAACAACAAGCCAGCGGCGAUUAUGGUUUAAAUAAAUUAAACCAACAAUCAACGGCUAACAAUGGGCUUUAGAUUACCCGGGGAAAUCCGGUUACCCGUAUAUGUUCAAACAAAGAUUUUUCAAAAGCUGAACUGGAUUCUCUGGAAUUGGAAGAAGUUGACGAAAAUUAUUAUUCACUGGAGUUGUAUUGGCCAACCUGAACUCAGUCCCGUGCGUCAUGAAACCGAAUGCAACUAUGGACACGAUGGAAGUGAAACUGCAGCGAAUAACUAUGGAUGGUUGGCUAAUAAGUACAAUCUUAAAUAAUCAACUCUCCGGAUACUAUGAUGAAGAUGAUAUUUACAAAGUGGCACUACUGCACCCGAUAAUAGAACCUGGAUUAGCUGAGUGGUCAGUAAAAAGAACGGCACUGGAGAAUAUUUUCCCUAUUAGCUUGCAGGCACUGAGUGAUCACAUGGGGAGCAUCUUCCCGGUGGAAACGCGAGGAUGGCCAAUGCGUCAAUCCUUAGUACUACAGGCUGAUACGUUCGAACUUGGAUGUCGGCUUUUGGCUUGCUGAAUAGAUG